UUUUAAUCGAACACUGAUCUUAUUGGUUGAAAAUGCUGUGGUCACAAUGUUUACUCAUCAAGAAACACAAAUAUGGCUUUAUCCUAAAUAAAUCAGGCCACUGAUUGCUCUUAUUUGUCUUUUAGGCGUAGGAACUUCCAGAAGAAGCCAGUACCAAACCCUGGCCUCAGUUCUGUGGCGCUGUGGCCAUCGCUGAGUCAUCGAAACGGACUGUACCUCAUCCAACCUUUUGCUAACCCGACAGAAAGUGCCUUUGACAAAGUUCACACAGAAGGACCUCCCAAGCCGCCCACUCUUUCCCUUGACUCGCUCCCAUGUGAUGAUGCAGCUUGUGACCAGGGUGAAAAAGACGCUCACUCAGCCAUUACAAAGCAUGAAAGCUCAUCUGAUUCUGCUGGAGUGGAGCAUCUGUGUUCGGCUGAAGAGUCGCAGGCCUUCCUCUCAGCGGAGAGCAGCCCCGUCAGCCCCUACCGCAGCCAGACUUCAGCAGAUUCAAAGUCUGGUGAACACAUGGAACAGCAGGAAAAGACUGGACUGACGACUGUGUAUGUCACACUUGACAUGUUUGAAAAUGUUCAGCAACGGUGAACACAUGGAACUAUACAAACCUUUUAUUGGUUAAAAGAGAAGACAGUUGCAUGGACAGAUAUAUUUUUGAAGCAAGGACAGCACGUUCCCUUUGAAUUGUUUGAAUUGUUUUCUUAUUAGUUCUGCAUUACUUCACUCUAUAGUGGAAUUAGAUGCUAGUCUGAGACUCAGUUUCCAUUCCAACAAAACCCAACCUUGGGGUUGUGAGACAUUGAGACCAACUAAGAACAUUGUUUUAACAUUUUGAGCCCAUUUUGGCUUAUUUUUAUUUAGAGUGUCUAUUCCGGUGCUAUUGGUACGGUUACCGAAUUACACGUAUGUAGCGUUUUAGGAUAAGGGUUAGGUUAUAAUCCAGUAUUGCAACAAUUUUUAGGGUUAGGUCUAGGGUAAGGUUUAUUCUUAGUCCCGCGACCUAAACUGGCCAAUGACUGACCUAUCACGUGACCUAAACUGGCCAAGUAGGGGCGCUGUGUACGGAUAGAAUGUCGGUACAUUGAUACAACAACCAUACGGAUAGCCACUGCCUAUUUUCUUUUUUUUUUUGUAAAUUGUUAGUAUUACAUUUUUUUUUUUUUUUUUUUUUUUUUUUUACACCAAACUGGCCAUAUUUUAACCUAUUUCCAUCACUUUUUCUUGCUAUAUUUGUGCUCUUUUUUAAUGCAUUUUUCUACAUUACAUCCAUUUCAAUGCCUUUUCUGCACAUCUUUUUCACUUUCAAGACAUUUUCAGCACAUAUAGACCCUUUCCACCACUUUCCUCACCUGUUGUUGCAAAUGUUGACCCAUUAUCGUCACUUUUUGUUUAACCAUCUUUCAUGUCAUUUUAACCACAUUCAUGAUUUGUCAUGUCCAUUAUUUGCCAGUUUAAACUAAUUGUUUCUACUUUUUCUGCCACUUUUAAGCCAAAAGAGACACUUUAAACCCUUUUUCUUUCCGUAUUUGGCCACUUUACAUUGCAACUUUUAACCAAUUUCUGUUUUUUAUAAAUCCCAUUUCACCAC
rnacentral:lncRNA from 1 species